GGCACCUGGGAUGGAGAUAAACGGGGGGGAGGAAAGAAAAAAGUGUUCCUGUUCCAUUUAAAGAGUGGGGAAAAGCAGUUUGCUGUUGAUAGCUCUCAGUGUACCCAAGUGGGAUGAAUGGUGUCCUCCUUGUCCAGCUGUGUGCCUGUGGCUUCUUGUUUGUCAAGAGGUUCUGGACAUCGGAGACGUUUGGCCUCUAAACCUCAAGGAAGAUCAGCGUGUCUGCAGCCAGGAGAAAGGAGAUUUCAGCUCCUCUUUUAGAUAAUUCUGCACCUGCAAAAACAUUGGCUGCUUCGUGCCUCUUUAUUAUGUUUGGGGGGAGAGGAAAAGAGCCCUCCUGAGCUUUCCAGGGUGGAUUUGAAGGUCAGAAGUCACUGAGAAUAAGCAGAUUUCCUCUCCCUGCUAACCUCCAAGGGCCAUCCAGCUCAUCCCAGUCCCUGGUGCUGAGGAUUGACACCAAAUACUCAGUUGCACUUCUAUGGCUGCAGUGUGUAAUUAUGCAGAUAUCCUAAUGGAGUUUGGAUCUUGAGUCCUCAGUGCAAGCUCAGAUUGGGGGGGGGGCAGCCCUGUUGCUGUGAUCCUCUGAGAGGCCCUUUCCCUGGGAAUUAUACAUAUUUAUAGAGAGACAAUUUAUCCUGCUUUGGGCUCCAGGCUCCUCACCCCAGUCCAGCUGCUCCUUGCUUCUCACCCACAGGCUCUCAGGUGUGCCCAUGCAGCUGGGGGGGCAUGGGAAGGGUCUUUCCCCCCCGGGGGUCUCAGCAUGGCAGGCUGGGGCAGGAGAGAGAGCUCUGAACAGCUGCUGGGGCAGGAGCACAGAGGCUUUGCAGCUCCCAGCCUGUUGUGUCAGCAAAACCACCCCUAUCUCAGGACCCUUAUCUGCCCACAGUGUAAAUAAUUUCUAAAUGAGCUGGAAGGAGGAAGACUGAUGAAUGCAGUUUUGCUGGAAAUGUUAUCAGGUUGGGAACAGGGGUGGUUGAACACUCCCUAAUCUGUCCUGGAUGAGAAGUGGGGGAUAACUGGGGUCUCCCCAGCCUGACUCAGUGGCAGCACAGGUCCCAGAAGCGUUUUAUUCCUCUGUGUCAAAUUGUUUUAGCUAUUUGCUUUCCAUUCUGCUGUUUGUGCACUUUGCUGUGUUUAUUUUUCAGUGCCUUCUGUCCUCUCCCUGUCCCCUGUGCCAGCAAUUAAGAGGAUGCUGAUGCUGUUGUGGGCUUUGGCACCUGGAGGCCAGGCUCAGAGCAUCCUGUUGGUGUGCAGGGAACAUCAGUGUGGUGAUUGAGCCACAGUGCCCACUGGAAAAAAAUUCCUGUUGUCCCAUGUUCUCAUUUAAAAUUCCUGCUAAACCCCCAACUUGACAGCAAAAACCAUAUAACAAAUAUAAGGCUUAAAUCAUGCUUUAAUGCUUGCUGGGAUGGGGUGUUUGAACUGCUUGAUACAUUAAGCUAUAUAAUUUAAAAAAAAACAACCUAUUGAUCUAUUAAAGCAUUUCUCUCUUAAUUUCUCAUUUAAUUCCAGAAUGGAUGGACAGCCAUGGAAAACCUUUCCUGGCUGUUGGCUCCUUAGUGCUUUGUGAGUUUAUUUAUGCUCAGACCAAAGGGAUUCAGGUACAAAAUGCUGCUCAGGGCAGUUUCCAGGCUCAAGAGUGGUCACAGAGACCCUCCUUGGAAUCAAUCCCUCAGUCUCCUCCAUGAGGACUUCCCAGGAUCCAGCUGCCUCCAAUUUGGGGCAGGUUACAGCCACUGUCCCAGUUAUCCCAGGCCACUCCUCCCAGCAUGAGUUAGGGCUCAAAUAGCAGCCACAGUGCCAGGGCAAGCCCAAAAGGGGCUUCAUGCCAGCACCCUGCCAAAAAUGCACUCCCCACAGGAAUUUAGUUGUUCCUGUGUCUGCAGUCAGAGGCAGCAGGAUGGGCUGGGUGGGUUUAGUUGCUGCAUAGGAUGGUGCUGACAUGAAUCCCUGCCAAGCCCCACCAGGACACCUGAGGCAGCCCAGAGCCCACCAAUAAAUAAUGGAGAAAUAAAAUGGAUACCUAUGGUGAGUAUAUGUAAAUAUUAUACUCAUGUUACCCAAAAUGAGGAGGUAACUUGAUUCCUUCUGAUCUGCCCAAUAAGAAACCCUUUGCUUUGUUUUUGCCUGUAAAAAGAAACAAGAAUUGUUCCUUAUUUUUGUCUAUAUUUGGUGUAAUCAGAUCCCUCCACCACUGAACCUCAUUUCCUGCUGCUGAGUACAUCCAAGCUAUUAUUGAGUAUUUAUUUUUCCAUGGGCCUCUCUGUUUCUAAUUGCUUUGUGCUGAUAUUAUGUGACAAUGUUGAGUCUGCACCUCCUUUAAUACCUGCCACAUGCUGAGUAUAUUGUAAACAACAUGUUUCCAGCUAUUUCCUGCUUUUAUUUACCUCUUUAUUUCUGAUCUUACUAUUUCUGGCUAUUUAAUGAAGCUGUUUUCUGAUGGGGAUAUUGGCCAGGAGGGCAAGCAGACAGAAAAAAUAGAGAUACGUUAGAAGUAACUUUAUUAGUGAUGCUUAAAAUUGGUGAAGUCUUCUGGGGUUUGUUGCUCUUUUUUAAAUGGAAGACAGUGAGAAUUUUUGCUGCAGCAAAAGUGAUAAAAGACUGGCGGUGCAGAAAAAUAAUAUCUCUGUAUGCUCACACAUAAAUAGCCUAUGUGGUGCUGCUACUGCUGCUCUGGCAACAGCUUAAAAUCUGUUUCUUCUUAUUUGACAGACAUCAAAAUUUCACAUGUGUGGGAUGUCUCUCAUAAACUGAUUUUAUUUGGAAGACAGCAGCAAAACCAUUUUUUGAUAAAUGAAGGGGAAAACUAUUAAAAAGGGAAGAACAUAUCUGACAUUUUAUUUAUAUAUAUUUAUAAAAUAUAUUUAUGUAAUAUCUCGGCUGUAUUAAAGCCUUGUCAGAGUUAUGAUACCAUUGCCCUGCUGAGCCCCCUGGCCCAUCUGCUGUGCUACCAGUGCAACUGGGGUUUUGUAAUUGUUGGAACUGUGGUCACUGAGAAUUUCAGACUUUCUGCUGCCAGGCACUGACCCCCAAGAGAGCACUGCAUUGACCUGAGGCCGUGGAGAAGCUUCAAAAAUGGGAUGACAGAACUGGGAUUGUGGGUGUGGAGUUUGAAUAGAAGUGUGUGAUAUCACAGGGUGGGAAACUCGGAGUUUAAGGGUUUAGAACAUAGUAAUAGAUAUAAAGCAAGAUGUAGGGUGUUUAGGAGGCUGGUCCUUCUUGUUCACCUUCUUCUCCAUGGGUUUGGGUGGUUUUGUGUAAUUGGAUAAAAAGUCCACAUUGUGGGCCAUGGGUGGUUGGUUAUCGGGUUAAAGUUAAAAAUAAUUUAGGUGUAAUUUCUUAAUUAGACAGUUUGUCCUUAAUAGGCCUUGUAGAGAGAGAGAUGGGGCUGCAUUUUUAGUUUGUUGAAGUGUUGCAGAACUCAGGGUUUUUGAGUCUGUGAUACAGAUAAGAACUAAUAAACAUCUGAGUCCAAACAAGAAAUACCAUCUCAUGCAUUUAAUCCCAACCCUGGCAAAAAGAAGUUAAGAUUUGACAUGCAAUGAUUAUUCCUCUUCCCAAAUUAAACCUCUGGCUUGAUGGACGACAGCUCUCAGCUGGGUGGAGACCAAGUGGUGCUCCUGGAGCACUCAUUCCUGCUGGAUUUUGUGCUUACCCCUUCUGGGAAUCCUAAAACAGCCCGAGCAUCAUCUGGGACUGGGGCAUUUCUGUCACCUGUGCAGUCUCCAGGCUGUGGCUGCAUUAUUUUUCCCAACAGCUUCAUCCCACAACUGACACAGGAGCACAUCCCUGCUGCUCCGAGGAGAGCCCAGCCCUCCACCGAGCAGGGCUUUUCUGGGCUCUUGUCCAGCACUAAACAUGGAAAAUUCCAACAGUCAGUCCUGUGUGUGAUCAAGCUGUUUGGGAUCUUUUAACUUUCAAAACAAAUGUGAACAAAACUGGUGAUUUUACUGUACAUUCUGUAGGAAAGAAACAAUUGGCAAAGCAGGCACCUGGCUGAGUUAUU